rnacentral:rRNA from 1 species
GACGAACGCUGGCGGCGUGCCUAAUACAUGCAAGUCGAGCGGACUUGAAGGAGUGCUUGCACUCCUGAGAGUUAGCGGCGGACGGGUGAGUAACACGUAGGCAACCUGCCCUCAAGACUGGGAUAACUACCGGAAACGGUAGCUAAUACCGGAUAAUUUAUUACAUAGCAUUAUGUGAUAAUGAAAGACGGAGCAAUCUGUCACUUGGGGAUGGGCCUGCGGCGCAUUAGCUAGUUGGUGGGGUAACGGCCCACCAAGGCGACGAUGCGUAGCCGACCUGAGAGGGUGAACGGCCACACGGGGACUGAGGAACGGCCCAGGCCCCUACGGGAAGCAGCAGUAGGGAAUCUUCCGGAAUGGGCGAAAGCCUUACGGAGCAACGCCGCGUGAGUUAUGAAGGUUUUCGGAUCGUAAAGCUCUGUUGCCAAGGAAGAACGUCUCAUAGAGUAACUGCUAUGAGAGUGACGGUACUUGAGAAGAAAGCCCCGGCUAACUACGUG